CCUACGGGAGGCAGCAGUGGGGGAUAUUGCACAAUGGAGGAACCUCUGAUGCAGCGACGCCGCGUGAGGGAAGACGGUCUUCGGAUUGUAAACCUCUGUCUUUGGGGAAGAAAAUAACGAUACCCAAAGAAGAAGCUACGGCUAACUACGUGCCAGCAGCCGCGGUAAUACGAAGGGAGCGAGCGUUGUCCGGACUUACUGGGUGUAAGGGGAGCGUAGGCGGGCGAGAAAGUUGAAUGUUAAAUCUACCGGCUAAACUUGUAGCUGCUUUCAAAACUUUUUGUCUUGAGUGAAGGAGAGGCAGGCGGAAUUCCUAGUGUAGCGGUGAAAUGCGUAGAUAUUAGGAGGAACACCAGUGGCGAAGGC
rnacentral:rRNA from 1 species